GGUAUGUAGUUCAGUGGUAGCAUGCUUGCCUAGCACGUGCAAAGCCCUGGGUUUGAUUCCCAGUACCC
rnacentral:tRNA from 1 species